UUGCCUUAUCUGAGUGCCAUCUAUCCACUCAGUAAAGAAGGACUUGGAGCAUUCUGGAUCUCAUCUGAGGUUACAGGGACGCACGGAGAGUCUUUACCUUUGUUAGAAUUUACUUUACAAAACUCAGCACAAGCAAGGCAAUUGUGGGGGAACCUGAAAGGACACUGCACAUCACUGCUUACUCUGAACCAAUCAGGAAAAACUGCCAGCAACUGAACUAAACGUGGAAGAGCCGAGCUUUCCCUGCAUGUAUUAAUUCUUGCUUUCUCCAUCUGAGAUGUUUUGCUUUAGACUCCAAAGUCUACAGAGACAAAGUCAGAGUGCUGGUGCAUCUUGGUCUUACUUUUGUGUGUUGUAAAUAUGUCUCCUCCUAAAGCUGCCCUCUAGGACAUUAGGGGUUCUGUUCCCACUUGGAGGAGCAAAGGAGACAAACAUUUUCCUCCCCACUCCAUGCCAGCCAAGCCAGAUGAAGAGCAACUUUAAAAGUCCUGAAGAUCACCAUCACACGAGAUUUUAUUGCUUUUCCAAGAAAUUGAGCUGUCAAAGAGCUCCUAACGUGUCCUUGUCAAACGGCAGAGAUGGUGAUGUGUACCUCUCAGCUACAACUGAAGUGGUAAUUUACCCAAGCAAGGACCACCGAUCAGUGAUUACAUCUCUGAAGAAAAUGACAUCUCCUCCAAACAACUGUUAAUGGCCAAUAGUCUCUCUAGGAGCAUGGAGGUACAUAGGUCCCUUCACAGCCAUGAUGGAAGGUUUAUUGGCCCAAUCGUGAUGCUUCAGUCUCCUAGAGUUAAUCAUAGCUAUGGUGAGCUCCUGAGU